GCAAAACAUGUCUGGCAGUGGCCCACGUGUGCGGUGCAGGACUCGCAGCUCGGUGGCCCUGAUACAGCUAAUAGCGGGCAGAGAGUCUCCAUAACAGUGUGUGAGAGUGACAGCAUAGCCGCCCUGGGCCUGCACGGGUGGGAGGACAUCAUGUGCUAACCCCACGGCCAGCAGGGAAGCUCCAUUCACACCUCGUGUCACCGGCCGGAGUGCGCCGAGUACCUGUGCCCGUCAUGGCGAAAAGAAAUCUCGAGCAGCACCCGGUUACCCUCCGCUGCCCUCCCUGUAAGAAGCGGGCCUGCGAGCUGCCCCCAUUGUCAGACGAAUUGCCCCCGCAUGGCACGCGGCUCGGGGCCAAGAGGAAGCUGGAGUCUGACCCUGGGGUGCAGCUUCUCACCCCCUCGCCCUGUGCCAGCCCGGCAGACUGCACACUGCCUCCCAGCAAGAAACCGAGGGCGGCGCAGACUGAGGGCGAUAAAGCUCCUGUUUAUAAAUGCCAGGAUGAUGAAAAUUUCCGUGAAUACAAUUCAUACCAGUUUUGGAAAACUCCAUUACCAGACAUUGAUUUUUCAGAAAUAACAACUGAGACUACUGAGGACAAUAAAAAGGUUGCACUGAUCACCUCUACAGAUUUGAUACAGGACAUGGACAGCUGACCUUUUCUAGUGACUUCAAGACUUCUGAUGGUUUUGGGCAGCUCCAGAUUAUAACACUGAGAAGUAGUAGGCUUUUGUAUUCUAAUUUUGAAUAGUACAUUUUAGAAUAUUUCAUUUUUAUUCCUCCUCUAUUUCGCACAGUACCAAGCAGGAGUUUUAGUACACUUGUGUAGUUUUAGUACACUAGCUUUACUGCUUAAAUGAUAGAAAGCCAUGUUACUAAUCAAAGCAGAAUUCAGGAACUUUGUAAAUUGUUUAUGAAGCUUGUAUAUAAAAAGUGGUUGUGGUGGUUGGAGUAAACCAGAACUGCUGAGAGCUCAUCACAUCAGCUUAUGAAUCAAUGUUCGUCUGAACAAGGCGUAUCAUUUUAUGAAUGGGGUUCCUUUUAAUAUUUGUGCUGCUAAACCCUGGCCUGUUAACCCCUUAAGGACCAAACUUCUGGAAUAAAAGGGAAUCAUGACAUGUCAUGUGUCCUUAAGGGGUUAAACAUAGGUCCAAUAAAGCAGAUGUCAAAAUCCCAAAUUUGAAACGUAUGAGCACAUUCAUAAUUUGCCUCUGUAAUAUAAAAUGAAAACUGGCAAUUAAAUUCUAUUGUGACUGAGCACACAUUUUCUUUGACAUCAUUUUUUUUUUUUUUUUUUUUUUUUAAAUGGAUCUAAACAUAUAGUAUUUAAAUUAAGCAUACCCAAGUUCUUUAUUUGGUUUCCCCAUGACAUUUAUGUUUUGUAAUGUGGUUUUGAUUAAUCAAAUAUUUCCUUUUGUAGGACGAUGAACUCUUCCGUGAAUUCAAUUCACACCAAUUUUGGAAAACUCCAUUGCCAAACGUUGACUUUUCAGAAAUAGAGACUUGUGAGAACAGUAUAAUGGGUGCACCAAUCACCUCUACAGACAUAACAGAGAACAUGGACAGCUGAUGUGCAAUUUUUGAGACUGACUGCAAAAAUCUUUGACCAAUACCAGUUGACACCUGCCAGAAAUGUAAUUUUUGUAAAUUACACGUUUAACAGCGUGUAAGGUCAAAAUAAAAAAACAUGUUAUAAUGUACAAAACAUUACAAGUAUUAAAGCAAUGCUUAGGACCCUUUAAAAUUUAUAUAAGCUUUGGAUUGCUCUAAGCAGUCACCCUUUGCAAUAGCAACCCCAUAGACGUGAUAUUAGCUUGAAAAGUUUCAGUCCUGUUGUAAAGGCAUAAUAGCUGUGAUAGCCAUGCUUGUUUCUUGAGAUGAACUUCGUAAAGAUAUGUUACCAGGCAGGCAAUCCACCUUUUACGUACAAUAAGAAAUUCAAUCCAGAAUGCAAGCAAUUUUAUAUAAUACAUUGUUUAUAUAUUUUAAGUUUUGGUACUUCAUUCUCUAGGUUUGCAGACUUUUGGGGACAUUAUGGGACAGUAUCCAAUUGCAAAUUCAGAAGCAAUAUGACCUGUUAC